rnacentral:lncRNA from 1 species
AUUAAGGUUUCAGUCUGCGCGAAUUUCUCUACACCACCAGCCCAGGCAAAAACCACCAAAACAAAACCACACAUCAAAAAAUUUGCAGCGAAAUUAUAUUAAAAAUCCAUAACCUGCCCUCCGUUGGCCAAUAAUCAUUGGCUGAAAUUUUCGAAUCAAACCCAAAUUAUUUGUACCAUCACCACACCAUAUCAACUCCUCUAAAACACUAUACUCC